rnacentral:rRNA from 1 species
UACGUAGGGUGCGAGCGUUGUCCGGAAUUACUGGGCGUAAAGAGCUCGUAGGCGGUGUGUCACGUCGGCCGUGAAAACCUGGGGCUUAACUCUGGGCGUGCGGUCGAUACGGGCAUCACUAGAGUUCGGCAGGGGAGACUGGAAUUCCUGGUGUAGCGGUGAAAUGCGCAGAUAUCAGGAGGAACACCGGUGGCGAAGGCGGGUCUCUGGGCCGAUACUGACGCUGAGGAGCGAAAGCGUGGGGAGCGAACAGG